AUUGAACGCUGGCGGCAGGCCUAACACAUGCAAGUCGAGCGAGCGCCGGACGGGUGAGAAAUGUAUGGGGAUCUGCCCGAGAGAGGGGGAUAACUACUGGAAACGGUGGCUAAUACCGCAUACUAUCGGCGAAACCCAUAUGGGAUUAGCUAGUAGGUGGGGUAAAGGCUCACCUAGUCGACGAUAUCUAGCUGGUAUGAGAGGAGGAACAGCCACACUGGGACUGAGACACGGCCCAGACUCCUACGGGAGGCAGCAGUGGGGAAUAUUGCACAAUGGGCGCAAGCCUGAUGCAGCCAUGCCGCGUGUAUUAAGAAGGCCUUAGGUUUGUAAAGUACUUUCAGCGGGGAGGCGUUACCCGCAGAAGAAGCACCGGCUAACUCCGUGCCAGCAGCCGCGGUAAUUC
rnacentral:rRNA from 1 species